rnacentral:rRNA from 1 species
AAGGAUCAUUAUCAAUUUUACAGUCCUGGGAUGGGGGUAAAAACUCCAUCCCAUGCUGUUCAACCCUUUGUCUUUUGCGUACUGUAUGUUUCCUCGGCGGGUUCGCCCGCCGAUAGGACACUUCAAAACCUUUUGUAAUUGCAAUCAGCGUCAGAAAAACUAUAAUAGUUACAACUUUCAACAACGGAUCUCUUGGUUCUGGCAUCGAUGAAGAACGCAGCGAAAUGCGAAAAGUAGUGUGAAUUGCAGAAUUCAGUGAAUCAUCGAAUCUUUGAACGCACAUUGCGCCCCUUGGUAUUCCAUGGGGCAUGCCUGUUCGAGCGUCAUUUGUACCCUCAAGCUCUGCUUGGUGUUGGGUGUUUGUCCCGCCUUCGCGCGUGGACUCGCCUUAAAGUGAUUGGCAGCCGGAAUAAUUCUGGGGAACGCAGCACAACUGCAGCCUCCAUUUUACGCCGAGCGUCCAGUAAGCCUUUUUUCAACGUUUGACCUCGGAUCAGGUAGGGAUACCCGCUGAACUUAA